rnacentral:rRNA from 1 species
UACGAAGGGGGCAAACGUUAUUCGGAGUGGUUGGGCGUAAAGGGUGUGUAGGCGGUAUGGUAAGUCAACUGUCAAAUUUCCCAGCUUAACUGGGCGCCGGCGGUUGAAACUGUUGUACUUGAGGAUGGAAGAGAGAAGCGGAAUUCUCGGAGUAGCGGUAAAAUGCGUAGAUCUCGAGAGGAACAUCGAUGGCGAAGGCAGCUUCUUGGUCCAUAUCUGACGCUGAGGCACGAAAGCGUGGGGAGCAACCAGG